GUGCCCACCUGAGCAACACCUAUACUACAAUUGGAAUGAUACAGAGAUGAUUAGCAUGGUCCCUGCACAAGGAUGACAUGCAAAUUUGUAAAGCUGUCCAUAUUUUU
rnacentral:snRNA from 1 species